GUGUCAGCAGCCGCGGUAAUACGGAGGAUGCAAGCGUUAUCCGGAUUUAUUGGGUUUAAAGGGUGCGUAGGCGGAUUAAUAAGUCAGUGGUGAAAACCUGCAGCUUAACUGUAGAACUGCCAUUGAUACUGUUAGUCUUGAGUACGGUCAAGGUAGGCGGAAUGUGUAAUGUAGCGGUGAAAUGCUUAGAUAUUACACAGAACACCAAUUGCGAAGGCAGCUUACUGGGCCACAACUGACGCUGAGGCACGAAAGCGUGGGGAGCGAACAGGAUUAGAUACCCUGGUAGUCCACGCCGUAAACGAUGAUCACUCGCUGUUGGCGAUACACAGUCAGCGGCUAAGCAAAAGCAUUAAGUGAUCCACCUGGGGAGUACGGCCGCAAGGCUGAA
rnacentral:rRNA from 1 species